GGCGAAUCAAACAGCAAAUUAAAGCUCAGACAACCCUCACCUGCAAACCAUGCACGGUAUAAGGAACUCAUUUUAAUGUUUUUUGGCUGAAGUCAUAGAGGAUAGGGAUACAGAAGAAUGGCCACGAAGGAAUCCUGACAUUUGUGAUUACACUGGGCCCACCUGGAUACUCUAGGACACUAUCCCCAUCUCAAGACCUUUAAUUGCACCUGCAAAAUCCUCUUUUUCCACACGAGAUAAAGAAAUUCAGUCUCAAAGAAUUUGGAGUCUUGUGAAACCAGAAUCUCUGAAUCCAGACUCAAGUUUGUUUUUACUAUUUUUUAUAGCCUCUCUCUAGGUCGUCUCUGUUGUCUCCCCUUGAUGUUUCCCUUCAAACUUUGUUUCUCUUUUAUGGCAUUUGUCAUAGACUUUUGUAUCCUAGCUACUUGUAUUUACCUGCUCAUAUCUGCCCUUCUGUAGGCUCUGAAAGCAGGAACCCUGUCUUGCAAUUUUGUAUUCCAUAUAGACCCAAGAAAAAGAACUGUCAUUUAUUGAGUGCCUAUUGCAUGCCAAGAACUUCCUAUUUUGUAUAUUAUCUGCACUUCCCACUUGUGAAAAAGGUAUUAUU